UUUGGAAACUUGUCCUCUGGAAAGUGGAUGACCUCAUUUUUGCAGCCAAUGCAGCUAAGAGAACCAGAUACGUGAGCAUAAAAAGCAAAAGAGCAACAACAACAACAAAAUCCAUCAUUUGAAAUUUCUCGAGGAGUUGCUCUCCAGUGAUGUUUUGGGCACUGAAUUCAGAGACAUACUGCUCCAGAUUUAGGCUCAUUAGCCAGUGAGAAACCUGCUGCACGCUCCAUUCAUGAACGGCCCGAUUCGGAUACUGACUGUGUUUGGGAGACUGUCCGUCAUCAAGGAUCUGAGUUUAAGGGUCACGUGCACGAUCUGAGAAGGCAGCUCAGCCGCCCGUGCCAUGCACAUACCUCAUCGGAUGAGAGCACCAAGGACUGAGAGAGUCCGGGCGUUUUGGGCUCUGCUCCCAGGCCGCUCAGGUCUGCUGAACUGGUGCUGCUAGGACUGAAAUCGUCAUUGAAGUGGUCAUGUAUGGAUGGGAGAGUUGGACUGUGAAGAAAGCUGAGCGCUGAAGAAUUGA